CAUAAUACUUUGCGGAUCGAUGGCCUUGUGCGCGAAGUUCAUUCAAAUUUCUGCCCUAUCAACCUUCGAUGGUAGGAUAGAGGCCUACCAUGGUUGUGGUGACGGGUAACGGGGAAUUCAGGGUUCGCAUCCGGAGAGGGAGCCUGAGAAACGGCUACACAUCCAAGGAAGGCAGCCAGGCGCGCAAAUUACCCAAUCCCGACACGGGGAGGUAGUGACAAUAAAUAACAAGCCAGGGCCCUAACGGGUUUUUGGAAUUGGAAUGAGUACAAUGUAAACACCUUAACGAGGAACAAUUGGCGGACCAAGUCUGGUGCCAGCACCCGCGGUAAUUCCAGCUCCAAUAGCGUAUAU
rnacentral:rRNA from 1 species